GAGUGGUGUUUGGUUUGUUACGUGUGGUUGACUGCGGCGUUUGCAACAACUUCCAUGCUUUCAGACCUCUUCAGUUGUGCGGCAAGGCCUGUAUCGCCUUGAGCGUAUUGUGGGUUUUCUGUGUUGGCUACCUAAUCAACGGUAUCGUUUGGAUUGAUCAAAGUUUGAUUUCGUCUUCCGUCGCGUUUGCGGCGUGAGGUGAACCUUGAUGCGGUCUCUUUGAUCCAUCUCGUUGAAGCACAUGCUUUGACGUUGUGGCACAUUGAGCAUUGCUUGGUGUCUUGUAUACGGAACACGCAGUGGGCAUGGAUCUAACGAUUCUUGUUUGCCCUCAUAUUAGCGUAACGCUUCUCUAACACGACUUGCACUACGUUUUAGCUCGUAC
rnacentral:misc_RNA from 1 species